rnacentral:lncRNA from 1 species
CAAGUCCCAGAAGGCUCUACGUGUGACACAAUCUCUCGACGCGCGACACAACCUCUCGACUCCGGACGUGCCUGAGUGUGGCUCUUCUCGUUGCGCCCCAAGACCUGGCACUGCCUAUCGCUCAACAACUAAGACGGCAGGUCCGUGCUGUCUCGAACCACAGAAACCUAGGAGAACUCCACGAAGCACCCUUAUGCUAAGCAGCUCCCAGAGCUGUCCAGCCACGCCGGAUCCCCUCCCCCACCGCGCCGACCUGUCCCGCCUUCUAACCUCGUACGGGUCGUCUUCCGCGCCUGCGUAGAACGUCUCCAGUGCGCACGCCGGUGGCCCCGCCCCUCGCGCUGUACCACGCCCUCAAAGGCUCCGCCUCUGCUGCUUGAAUCCCACCCCUCUAUCUGCAGGACCCCGAGCCGUAAUGAUCCUGCAACAGCCCCUGGAGCGAGGCCCCCCAGGGCGGGACCCACGGGCCACCACUGGGGUGACUCUUGGCCUGGAUACCAGGGAACCCUUGCACAAGCACUUCCUGUCUGAGGAGAACAUGGCCACCCAUUUCUCCCGACUCAGCCUACAUAAUGACCACCCCUAUUGCAGUCCCCCUGUGACUUUUCCCGAAGCCCUGCCACCACUCAGGAUAACCCCAGUCCCUACUACUCUGCGUCCCCAGCUGGGGAGAUCAUGGAGCUCUGAGUGUCGAUGACCUGUGUCCCUCCCCACCUUCUUCCUGACUAUAGAGACCAGCAACUCCCAGAAAGGGAUGAAGGCCUUCUCCAAACCCGGUGCCUGGCCACCAGGACCUUCCCCUGACAGGAGGACACUGAGCUCGGUGGAACGUUAGAUUCGAAGCAGCCUGGGAAGAGAAGGUGUCACCCCAUUAGUGAAUAAAGACCUGUGAGCAGUUGAA